rnacentral:rRNA from 1 species
CCUACGUGGGGCAGCAGUGAGGAAUAUUGGUCAAUGGGCGCGAGCCUGAACCAGCCAAGUAGCGUGAAGGAUGACUGCCCUACGGGUUGUAAACUUCUUUUAUCAAGGAAUAAAAUGUUCCACGUGUGGGAUUUUGUAUGUACCAUAUGAAUAAGGAUCGGCUAACUCCGUGCCAGCAGCCGCGGUAAUACGGAGGAGCCGAUCGUUAUCCGGAUUUAUUGGGUUUAAAGGGAGUGUAGGUGGAGUGUUAAGUCAGUUGUGAAAGUGUGCGGCUCAACCGUAAAAUUGCAGUUGAAACUGGCAGUCUUGAGUACAGUAGAGGUGGGCGGAAUUCGUGGUGUAGCGGUGAAAUGCUUAGAUAUCACGAAGAACUCCGAUUGCGAAGGCAGCUUACUAAACUGCCACUGACAUUGAUGCUCGAAAGUGUGGGUAUCAAACAGGAUUAGAUACCCCUGUAGUC